rnacentral:tRNA from 1 species
GGAGAUAUGGCAGAGUGGUUUAUUGUACCUGACUUGAAAUUAGGAGUACUUAUAGUACCGUAGGUUCAAAUCCUACUAUCUCCU